AUGGGUGCACGGCUCAUUUGCUAUGUAGCACUUUGCCUCCUGGGGGCAGGCUCUUUUGAUGCUGCAGUUACACAGAAGCCAAGAUAUUUGAUCAAAAUGAAAGGCCAGGAAGCAGAGAUGAAAUGUAUCCCUGAAAAGGGGCACACUGCUGUUUUCUGGUAUCAACAAAAGCAGAGCAAAGAAUUAAAGUUCCUGAUUUACUUUCAGAAUCAACAGCCUCUUGAUCAAAUAGACAUGGUCAAGGAGAGAUUCUCAGCUGUGUGCCCCUCCAGCUCACUCUGCAGCCUGGGAAUCAGAACGUGCGAAGCAGAAGACUCAGCACUGUACUUGUGCUCCAGCAGUCAAUC